GGCAGACAGACUUGUGGCAGCAGGAACAAAGGAGUGACAGUCAGGGCCUGGAGGAGCAGGGCCAGCCCCCGGGGGGGGGGGGCCACUUCGGUGUGCAAAGACACGGAAAUAUCUAUGUGUCCAUAAGUGUUUCUGUCCUUCUAUCUGAGGUUUCCGAGGGUAAUAGGGGUGGGGAGAGGGGAGCUGUGUGUUUGCCACCUUUCCCUCGCCAACGAGGUUGUGGGGGGGGGACAGAGGGAGAGACAGAAACUUAAAAUCUCCCUUCCUGCGGGAGAGCCUGGACCCCGACCAGGGAGAAGGAGACACGUGGAGAGAAGUCGCUGGAAUGCUGACCGGCACAGGCUUCCCUUGGAUGCAGAUGGAGAUUGGAACCGAGAUGAUCUGGAAGCAAAUACAUGGGCAGGCAAGCCCCGCUGGGAGGGUGACCCUCUGCCUCGGAGUCCUGUCUGUUCACAGAUUUCUCAUUCGGAUUUGGAGUCAUCAUUCCACAAAGCAUGAGACUUAAUUACAUUUGAAACUGCAGGGGAAAGAGGUUUCUACCCUCUUUCCGUGGAUGUUCUGUCUUCCCCGCAGAGGGGUGAACAUCAGUCUGGUUGGGAUUCCAGGAUGCUUCUAAGGACGUCUUUAACCACGAGCAGGGUCUCUGUGUGCACCAGGUGCUGCACGCUUGUGGAUCUCGUCCCCUCUCCCUCUCUCACUCACUCUCAGGGGUACAAGGACUAGUAAGUUGAGCUACUGUUGGGCACAACUGUCCUCUGCUUCUUGCCUCCAUAGGACAUGUGGCCCAGACAAGGCCUGACACAGACGACAUGACUUUUCUAGAGUCCCCUGUCUCUGUCCCUGGGCAUCAGGCUGACCCAGGCGACCACUGUGCCGGGUGUUGGCAUAAACAUGCCAGCUUUUCUGUGGCUCUGCUUAGGGUCGCUGAGAUGAGCACUUGGAAUAGAGGCCACCGAGCAGCUAGCCAGUGGGGUAGGGAGAUCCACAGGUGGCCCUCGUGGGACUGACAGUGACACCUGGGGCUGGUCCUGGCCUGGAAGGAGGGAAGGGGCUGCCCCCGUGGGGCCAGGGGGAGCUGGACACGCAUCACCUCUGUAAGAGCAGCAGUGGUUCCUGAGGAAUCUGGAGGCCUCUGUAAAGAAAGCAAAGUUUCUGUGAUCCAGAAAAAGCCAGACCCGCCAGGUUAGGAUAGGGACAGGACCAGCUUGAGGAGCAGAUUUCACUCCUGAAAAUCCUCCUGGACUCAUUUGAAGGAAACAAGGAAGCGCCUGGGGCACUUUCUGCAACUUCAAGGAACACUGACACCAGGGCCACCGUCACUGUUCCGGAAGAAGCACAAGUGCUCGACCUGGAGGCCUGGAAAGCCGGAGAAGCCACACUGAGGAGGAACCACAGGGCAAAGAAGCCACCAAGGGGACGGGCUCAGUAAGUGUCACCAGGAGCAGAUUCUGUUCAGACUUUGAAGGUAUACAUGAAGCAAUAUCCUUGUUGGCUGCCCAUUUGUCUUGCCUAUAAGAACACCACGUCUUGUAAGCUAUCUCCAGAGACAUCCACGGACCAGGCCCCACGGCUGUCAUUCUAACCUUGCUGCGCAUUACAGAGGUUGUGUUGUCGUGCUCUGACAGUUAAAUGCUACCCCUGAUUUUGUUAUCCAAUCAUUUCCGUUGCUGGAAUACAGUUCUGUGCAACAUUCCCACAUCAUUCUGACCUACAGAGGACAGCCCCUGCUGAGCAUCUCAAGGAUGCUGUUGCCCCCUUAGCAGUAUGUUCUUUAUCACCUUGGUAAGUCAGUGUCUCUGAGGCCUCCUGAGGAACAGUUACCUGUAGGUGGUUUUUCCAGCUGGAGAGAAUAAAGCCAUGCCAAUUUCAUUAGGCUUUUGAAUUUCCCUUUUCCAUAAUCUGCCCUACCAAGCCCAGUAUCUCUACUUCUGUUUCAUCCAGCGUGUACCCUGGCUUAUAGCAAGCCUCUGCGAGCCACCCAGGAGCAUAUUAGAAUCAUCACCUCUGGCCCUUGCCAGGCUAAUUAAGUUCUGUGGCACGGGAGAGCGUGACUGCAUCAACAAUUCUCCUCUUUCCAGUUUCCUAUUCCCUUUCUUCAUUCAGGACCCACUCCCACACACAAUCCCCUGGCACCUGCUGGUAUAUGUUGGCCCAGUCCUCCAGGUGCACUGGAGUAGAACCCUCUCUUCAUCUCGCAGGCCCACUCAGCAUACUCCCAGUUAGGUCAUACUGAGGCUACUCUGCAUAGCCUUCAUUCAGGCAAGAGGGGGGCUGGUAAGGGUCUGUCUCCAAAGCAGGGGCAGGAGUUCUCUUCUGCAGGCCCUGCGGGCUCAGAGGGAUCUGGAGUUCAGAGCUCUCCUGUACAUCUAUCUAGAGAGUUUCGGGGCUUCACUCCUUCUUUAUUGGUGCCCUAACUUUGGCAUACGAGGCCACCCUGAGCUUAGAAUUCAGGAUUCUCUGAAAUUCUGCCCUUCUGAAACUCAGGGUCAGGCCUUCCUUACUGUCUACUUUCCAGCUGCAGGGAUGGGGGUGAUUUUGGUUUAGGUGAUUAAUAGCUUUAAGCCUGUCUUUUACUCUUGUCAACGUAUUAGUGGCACUUACCAACAGCCUUCAAAACCCCACACUUGUUUCAGUUACUAUCUCUCCUUCUGUAAAUGUCAGAUCAUUGUUCCAGCGAAUAUGCCUCUCCCCCUAUGGCCCAUCCAGUUUCCUACAGGUGAAAGUUUUGGCAAUGGCAUGGUUGUAACACCUCAGGCACUGUCAACAUUCCACUUGUCACCAUCUGACUAGACAGUGAUCUAACAUCAGAACCCCAUCCUCAAGUCCUGCUUGCUAGGACCAAUACCUUAAGUUGGGUUCCUUGGGAGCAGAGCCCGAGAUAAAGUCUCUUGAGUAAGUGAUUUAUUAUGAGAAUUUUCUCAGAAGAAGAGGGGUGAGCGAAGCAGGAUAGCAUGGUAGGAAAAACCAAGCAUGGAUUGGUACCAGCUGGAGACUAGCUCCAGCCUGAUCUCGUGGGAAGUGAAGGGAUACGGAUCACUACGGGUUGGUUCCACCUUGGGGCUGGAAGCUGGCCCCCACGCCCAAGAGGUGUAAUCUCCAGGUGAAGUUGGCAUUGGCAGAGGGUGGUACUUUGGGGAAGAGUGUCAUCAGCAGCCAACCCUCACAGCAGCUGGGACAUGAAAGUUCUGCCCAAAAAGGAGAUUUUCCAGGGUGUCAACAGCCUCCACUACACCAGUGAACUCCUCUCAUUUGCUUCCUCAAUAGAAAACACUUCCUUGAAUUUCUUCUCGAACUCUGCCUCCAGUCUAAGUCCCAUUAGGCCAAAGUCAU